AGCACCUUUCAAAUCCAUACACUCCAGCUGAAAAUAACAGUUUGAGGUGUACAUACUUAACUGAAGGUAGCUGUGUGAUAGAGGGAUUCACCAUAGCGAUUAUGCAGGGUUGGCACUAUGUAUGAGGAAGUGGGGUAACAGUUACGUUAUCCAUUUGCAGCCUGAAUCUUACAGGAGUUUUGCAAAAUCAACAUGUCCAAGGUUACUGCUGGAACUGCUGGGGCCAUAAAGACCAGCCCCUUUGUGCAGCUUUUUAAUACAGGCACAGGAUUCUAUGGGCAUUGCUACCUACUAUAUGAGUACUUUCUUUUACUGUGAGUACUACUUACCUACUUUCUUUUAGGUCUGUCUGAAAGCUUGUUCCAUGGGAGCGACCAGACUUUUCAUGGUGUAUGCUGCGCUCUGUAGGGUGUGUUACAAAGGGACAGCAAGUUUCUCUGGCUGCACAAGACAAGUGCAGGCAGAGUGGAGGCCAAAUGUGCCACUCAAGACACCUCAUAAGUAUACUGGUUGUUCCUCAGCAAGGGAAAUGUGACUCCGAUCUGGCGUGGAUGCGUGCUUUGCUUCCUGCCACAUCAAGUGCUAAUAUGUAUUUUAUGGACACUGUAAUUCACAAUGUGAAGAGAAGAGCUAUGGCUGUGUUAACAUGCAGACUGUAGAGCUCCUGAAUGACUCAAGGCUUUAAUGUGCACCUUCUGGAGGUAUAUAAGCAAUCCCUUCACAAUGGCAAAUUAGUGCCAAUGCAGUUAUCCAUCUCUUCUGCUCCUGGUUCCCUGAUCAUGAUUGCAGCAUUCACACAACGCUUACUGGGCCAGCUUUACUCACUGAUCUCCUCCGCACAACUUACAGCUGCUUUUCCUGCACUCCCUUCCCCAGCUGUCCCCUUUACCACACAAUUCUGUGAUUCUGUAUAGCCCUUCACCAUGUUAAUGCUUAUGCUCUGAUUUUCCAAGUUUGAGAAAGUAUCACUACCAGAAUCAACUUGGGUAGAAGCAACAUGUAUUUUAUUUCAGUAAACAGAUUUGCCUCUAACUCAGGAAAUGCCAUUUUCGACAGAAAAAGCUACAUAAAUUCUUAGCAGAGGCGGACAGGAGAAAGAAUACUCCAUAUCAUUCAGAUUUCUAUGAGGGGUUGAGCUUCAGAGUGCCUGAGGUAAUAUACCGUUAGUCACAAGGAUACACCCACUGAACUACCAUGCAAGUUUCCAUCACUCUUCCCUCACACUGUUGACGAUGCAGUUUUCAGGCUCUUUGAAAGGAUAUGUUUCCUUCAAUAGCAUUUCUGACACUGGUUCACACACGAGUGGAUGCAAGGCAGCUACAGAGAUAAAUGUUAAUUGAGAAUCCAAGAAUAACAACAAAACAAAGGGGACAAGAGUUUCAGAGACAGUAUUAGAAAGAUCUUAUUUCCAAUGCUAUUUUCAUUCCAAAUGUUUAAGAGAAGAAAUAGAUCUGUUUGGAUUCAAUGGUUUCCCAAUUUUCUUUUUCACACCAAUUACUUACUUUUGAAACUUCAUUUUAAAAAACAACCUGUG
ensembl:lncRNA